rnacentral:piRNA from 1 species
UGGGCCUUAGAAAAACCACAUUGUUUACAGCC